ensembl:lncRNA
AUAGAGAAAUAUACAAUGUCAGUAUUCAGGCAUCUUUCCAUUUCUCCCUCCCUUUUUUUUGAGAAAGGUACACCCUUUCUCAGUGUAGAGUUCCAGAGAAAAGCAGGAGAGACAAGAAGACCUUAUUCAGUGAACAGUGCAAAGAAAUAGAGGAAAACAACAGAAAGGAAAAGACUAGAGAUCUCUUCAAGUAAAUUAGAGAUAUCAAAGGGACAUUUCAUCCAAAGAUGGGCACAAUAAAGGACAGAAAUGGUGAAGACCUAGUAGAAGCAGAAGAGAUCAAGAAGAGAUGGAAAAAAUAUACAGAAGAAUUGUGGGGAAAAGAUCUUAAUGACCUGGAUAACCAUGAUGGCAUAGUCUCUCACUCAAAGCCAGACAUUCUGGAGUGUGAAGUCAAGUGAGCCUUAGGAAACAGUGCUGCCAAUAAAGCUAGUGGAGGUGAUGGAACUCCAGCAGAGCUAUUUAAAACCCUCAAAGAUUCAUCUAUUAAAAUGCUGCAAUCAGUAUGUCAGCAAAUUUGGGAAACACAGCAGUGGCCACAGGACUGGAAAAGGUCAAUCCUCACCCCAAUUCCCAAGAAAGGUGGUACUAAAGAAUGUUCAAACCACCAGACAAAUGCACUUGUCUCCCAUGCUAGUAAGGUUAUGUUCAAAAUCCUCCAAGCCAUGCUUCAGCAUUACAUGAACCGAGAACUUCCAGAUGUUCAAGCUGGAUUUAGAAAAGACAGAGGAGACAGAGAUAAAAUCGCCAACAUUCACUGGAUCAUACACAAAGCAAGGGAAUUCCAGAAAAACAUCUACCUCUGUUUCAUUGACUACACUAAAGCCUUUGAGUAUGUGGAUCAAAACAAACCAUGGAAAACUCUUAAAGAGGUGGAAAUACCAGACCAUCUUACCUAUCUCCUGAGAAACCUGUAUGUGGGUCAAGAAAUAACAAUUAGAACUCUAUAUGAAACAACUGACGGGAUCAGGAUUGAGAAAGGAGUUCAACAAGGCUAUUUAUUGUCAUCCUGUUUAUUUAACUUAUAUGAAAAGCACAUUAUAUGAAAUGCCAGGCUGGAUGAGUUACAAGGUGGAAUCAAGUUACAAGCUGUUGACAUGGUAUUAUCCACAUCAACAGAGGAACUAAGGAGCCUCUUGAUGAGAGUGAAGAAGGAGAGUGAAAAAGCCAGCUUAAAACUCAGUAUUAAAAAAUUCUAAGAUCAUGGCAUCCAAUCCCAU